rnacentral:rRNA from 1 species
GAUGAACGCUGGCGGCGUGCCUAAUACAUGCAAGUCGAGCGAACAGACGAGGAGCUUGCUCCUCUGACGUUAGCGGCGGACGGGUGAGUAACACGUGGAUAACCUACCUAUAAGACUGGGAUAACUUCGGGAAACCGGAGCUAAUACCGGAUAAUAUAUUGAACCGCAUGGUUCAAUAGUGAAAGACGGUUUUGCUGUCACUUAUAGAUGGAUCCGCGCCGCAUUAGCUAGUUGGUAAGGUAACGGCUUACCAAGGCAACGAUGCGUAGCCGACCUGAGAGGGUGAUAGGCCACCCUGGAACUGGAACACGGUCCAGACUCCUAAGGGAGGCAGCAGUAGGGAAUCUUCCGCAAUGGGCGAAAGCCUGACGGAGCAACCCCGCGUGAGUGAUGAAGGUCUUCCGAUCGGAAAACUCUGUUAUUAGGGAAAAACAAAUGUGUAAGUAACUAUGCACGUCUUGACGGUACCUAAUCAGAAAGCCACGGCUAACUACGUG